CUCCAAAUUUUCUUUUUUCCAGACAAAACAUCAGCGUGCGGAGCUCAGUUAUCUAGUUGAUAGACCCCGACGGGUAAACAGUUCUGCAUUCCAGGAAGCAGACAUAGUAAGCUCUAAGGACAGUGGUCAUGGAGACAGUGAGCAAGGAGACAGUGAUCACGAUGCCACUAAUCGAGGUCAAUCCUCUGGCAUGGAUCUCUUCUCCAAUUGCACGGAGGAAUGUAAAGCACUGGGCCACUCAGAUCGGUGCUGGAUGCCUUCCUUCGUUCCGUCUGAUGGACGCCAAGCUGCGGAUUACCGCAGCAAUCUGCACGUACCUGGCAUGGACUCUGUUCCAGACACUGAAGUGUUUGAAACACCAGAAGCCCAGCCUGGGGCAGAAAGGUCCUUCUCUACCUUCGGCAAAGAGAAGGCCCUUCACAGCACUCUGGAGAGGAAGGAGUUGGAUGGACUGCUGUCUAAUACACGAGCGCCUUACAAACCACCAUAUUUGACGCUUUCCAUCUCUGGAUCUCAAAGUGGAUUAUAAAGAAUAGUGACUUAAACCUUCCUGCACCUCUAGGAGAUAGCACGGAAAAGGAUAUGCUAGUCACUUCUACAGGACUUACCUGAAGCAGCAUGAUUUGCACAAAAGUCGACCAACAAAAAGCAUCAACUUUCAACUUCAUUAUCUUGGCCAUCCAGUUCUGUGUAACUGAAGGAUUUGUGUGCUGUUGGAGACGUCAUGGCCAACAAUAGGACCUAAUUGCUCUCAGCAGGCCUGAGAAAUGAGUUGAAAUGUGUAAAACUGUAGAAACUUCAGAGGCAACUGAUCUUGCCUCUCUGAUCAGUGUGUGCCUGUUUACAGCACUAUAUAUCUUUCUCGCUCCAAAAUGUCACUGAGCCCUUUAGAUGUUUAUAUUCACCACAAGAAGCCAAUCGUACAGAUAAAAGAAAUGUGCAUUAUAAAUGCAAUAUCACUGUUUUAAACUUGACUGUUUUAUAUUAUUUUUGUGUGAUCAAGUGUUCCCCAAACUAUUCCAACUUUACAAGAGAGAUUGUGAUCAUGUUCUUUUCACUGUGGGUCAUAAAAAGGUUGUUAAUCUGAAGACUCACAAAAUUAUCAAAGACAUUCUGUAGUUUAUACACCGUGUUGCAAAGUGUUUACUGUACUAUUUCAAAGCUUCUAAAUAAAUAUAAAAUAUAUAUAUAUUAUAUUAUAUAUAAUUUUCCGAAAAAUGUGGUACAACUUAGCUGAUUUUUAAAUGGAUUCAUACAGUCUACACCAUACACUAAAGUGAGAAGGUAAUUCAGGGUUCCUAAGCUAUCCUUGCUAAAAAACAAAAGUAAAAUAAACCUUUAAUAGUACUUCCCAAUAUUCGUAUUUUGGUCAAUCCUGUUUUUCUUGUUUAAAAAAAAAAAAGGCUGUAAGCAACAACAUUUUGUCUAAAAGUUGUAAUGAAUUUUCAAUGCCAAAGAUGCAGCUGUCAAUAUUACCAGAAUGAGCGCUAUGUACUAUCAAAAGUAUAAAUCACUCUCCAUUAUUUUGAUUAUAUUUCUAUGGUUUUUAAUUUGAAAUCACAAAAUCUUUUAUAAAGCUCUAUAAACUCACCUGUAUAUGUUGUUAAAAAGAACACUGGGUGUCUGUACAUUUUGCAAUGUAAGAUAUAAUGUAAGUGAAGUUAAGUAUUUUAAGAAAAUUAUCCCGAACUCAUAAGUAUGCAUACGUACACACAAAGACAUGUAUACACACACAUCUCUCUUCAGCAUAGUUUUGUGAAACUAUACAAAUAUAUUGCCUAAACAAAUACUUCUCUUGUGGCUAGGAAUAGUUAUUGAUAGAAGUCAAAUUACAAAGGCAUAGUAUAUGCCAAACUAUUGACUCUUUUAUUACAAAUGAGAUUUGAAAUUAGGAACAUGGCACGUUCUCAGCUGACCCUUCUCUCACUGGAGUUAAAAAGAGGUUGGCUACUAUCUUUGUUGGGAAAAGCAUUAAGCCCUUGCAUAUAAUCUUUACAUUCUGUGAUAACUCUUAUCGUCUGAAAUGGUAUCUUAGAGCAUUUCUUUUUUUAAUGAAAUAUUGAAAAAGGCAAACUUUCAAAGGUAAAGUUUAAAAUUACUUUCAUGUCCAUGGAGUUUAAGUACCAUCUACUAAAUGUAAAAAUCUAGUAAAAUGUUUUUUCUUUUUUUUCUUUUUGUAUUGUGUUUUUUUCCCACUGUAUAAUAAUAUCUGUCAAAUAUUGAAAACAAAUGAUAGAAAACUGUGUUAUCAACAGAUACCUAGCCAAAUUUGAACCAGUGCUUAGGGAUGAUUCAAUACUAAGAAAGACACUAGAAAGCCUCGCAUGGACCGCAGUGGAAUUUGGAUAGCACUGUUAUAUAGGAAUUCUGGUAGGCCCAGCAGUGCUGUCACAGGAUGAAUGAGGGGUGAGAGAGAGGUGGACUUUAGCCACUGCAAUGUACUAAUAGAGUUAAGUUUUUCUUCCUUUUGUUAUUUUUUUAAUAAUGAAGGUUUCUAUUAGAUAAAAAUAUGUAAGUCAUCUGUAUGGAAACUGUCCUGGAUCCAAACAGGACUCCUAAUGAAUUUGCAGGAAUUCUUUGUACAAGCAGCUACCUGGACCGUGCCCUGAAGUUGCUAAUUUCAUUAAUCUGAACAAAAUAUACUUGUUCCACACUUCUAAUACAUAUUUCUAGCAUAUUUGUAUAACUACAAAAUAUUUAUUGGGAUCAUUUUUAAAAUGUAUAUAUUAUGUAAAACAGCCAAAACAAAAAGCACAGACAAUAGCUAUUGAUUUGAGCAAACAAAACAGUGAAAUGUUUCUCUAGCUUUACAUAACGGCACUUUUAGUUACCUACACACGUUGUUAGUUUUGUGAAGAACAGCAAUGAGAUCUGUGACGUAUAUUUUGUUUAACAGGCUCUGUUAAAUUGUUGUUUCUGCUUUUAAAGCAAGGAAGUCCUUGCCCUUCAUGGAACUGUUUUUUUUUUUCUUUUUCUCCAAGUCCUAUUAUUAUGAGACAUAUACUGUUAAUUAGGGUUGUUUUCGUCUUUGGAAGGAAAAAUUUUUUUUUUCUUUUUCAUAGACAGUUGAAGUGUUUUUAUUUAAUGAAACUGCCUUCACAGUUUGAAUGCCAUUUUUGGAAAAACUUAACCAUAUCAUGCCAUGUUAUUCAUUUCCAUCAUUGUACUUUUUCCAUGAACUCAGUAUGUGAUAGACACUUGUCCAUUUCAUUUUUUUUUAUGUUAAAUAAUCUAGACAUUGGUCUUUGUACACACAGAAGUCCUCUGAGUUCAUCGGGAGAGUCCCAAAGGGAAUAAUGAUUGGAUGCAGAACCUGUUGCCUAUGUUUAGGCAAUAGGAACAGGAAUAGGAACAGGAAGUGUUUAACUACUAUGGCCUGGGCUCUUAAAAUGUUUAAAAACUUAACUUUGGUGAUUUCCCUAGGUCACUGUCUAUUUCAGUAUGGUAACAUUUGAUGACCUGAGCUGUAGGGCCCCUUAAAAGAGAGUAUGCAACUGCUGUAUCCCAAAAAGAGUGCUAAGAACCAUGUUUAGCAGUACAGAGGUUCAAUUUGUUGGCUAUUUCCAUGUUUUUACUGGGGAAGCUGCUCUUCAUAUCCAGUCAACUCCCAUUGAAAUUGACUUGUUCAGCACCUACAUGUUUUUGAUUUUGCUACUAGGUGCCUACUUGCAGUGAUGGGUAUGUAAAUGCCUUUAAAUAUUAGCCUUCUGUAUUAGCCUCUUCCUUUAAGCGUGUGUGAUGCAAAUACCUAAGGACUAGAUUUGCAUAUUGGACAAAAAUAAACUGAAGUAGUCAGCAGAAAAUAUUUAGAUUAGAUGUUAAGGAGAAAUAGCUAUAACCAUCAGCUGGAAUAGGCUUCUUGAGAAGGUUCUGGAAUUUCCUUCACUGAACGUUUUAAAGAAUAGCUCAAAAAAUACCUGUCAGGGAUGAUUUAAGUGUACUUAAACUUGCCUCAGAGAAAAAGCAUGGACUAGCUGAGGUCACUCCCAGCCCUGUUGUUCUGUAAUUUCUCUAGCAGGCAUACCAAGUUUUGGAGAAGGUUAUCUGUACACUGCUGUAGCGUUAAGAAUGUUCUGUCCUUCAGUUAGGUGUUGAAAGCAAUACUUAAUGUACAGAUUUGCAAUUUAUGAGCAUAACAGGGCAAGCUGCCUGUGUGAAGAACUGUCUUUGGAGUCAAGUGGAGUUCCAGCACAGAAGACAGGAUCCUAUAAAGAAAAAGAAAUGGAGUCAGAUAUAUAAACCUUUUCUUUUUUAAUUCCUGGUUUAGAUACAAAACAAUGGAUUUUAAGCAACUUGCCUAUUCAAUUUCUUCAAAACCUGUCUUUAGUUUCUUCUAGACUGAUUUGUCAAAAACUUAAUAAUUUCACUACUUGAAGUAAAAUUUGAUUAUCUAAUACAGGUUUUUACUAAACUGCCUCUUGAGAGAAAAAAAUGAGCUAGUUCCAUUAAUAUAUUCUCAGCUGAUUUCAACAAAGUGUAGUAAUUUUUCAACAAUAUUGUUGCAAAAGUAAGUGGAAUGAUAGUGCACAGAUAAAUACAACUUAUUUGUGAUGAUUACACUUCAUGCAUAGUAGUCAUUAUGUGGGGUGGGGGGUAUGUGUGUGUGUGUAUGUAAUUAUAGUUCAAAAUCUGGUAAGUUGCCGCUGAGUUUUUUCUUACAGGAGUACUCUCCUACCAGUAAACACAAACAUAAGUAUAGAAACACAUUUAUGAUAUUAGAAAGUUAGACUUCUUCCUUAACGUGGAGCGGAGAGUUGCAUUCAACGUUUGAAUUCAAUCCUUUCUUCAUGCAUUCUCCCAAAAUCAAACACACGUUUCAGUAUUCGACUUGCAAAAUUUUACCUACUCAUAGUAGACUUUUUUUCUUUUUUAAUGUACCUCAGGGUAAAGGGCAGAUAAACAGAUAGUCUUCCUAGGCUGAUAAAUUGUCAUUGCAAUUUUGCAAGGCUGUUAAAUAUUUGUGUGUCUUAUACAGAGAAAGCUGGUCAUAUCCUGCCGUUGUUCCUUGUUCAAGUCUUGAGUUUUGUGGCACGAGGACUUCUAAAUUAAAAUUUAUAAGAAGACUUAGGGUCCAAAAUAAGCAUCUUUGAUAUACAUUUAGUCAUCGCAAUUUGAUUGCAAAACAUUGGCAUCAGAGGCGUCUACAGAAUAGAAAGCUGUUUAUUCUAUUUGAAGUAAAGGCAGACAGUAAGACUUGGUUAUAGUUUUAUGCUAUGAGAAAUUCUGAAACUGUGAGUUAAAUACAUUGCACUGAUCGCUGCAGUCAGAACUCAAGUGCUUAUUUAAGAUUUCCUUCAUUCUAUUUUCUCUCUAAUCUGCUAAUCUGUCUUGGUAUGAAAUGGAUACAUAUCUAUAAACAAAUACACAUACACAUAUCCAUUAAAAAUUCAUUGUUGAGCAUCUGUUUUUGUAGAUAUCCUCAUAUGUAAGAAAUGAGCAAGAACUAACUUGGACAGCUUUCUUGAAUUGAAAUUGUUUUGAAUUUGUUAAUAAAGUUCAUGAUACUGUA